UCAUUACCUGGAUCCAUCCUAGAUGAUUAACUAUUCAUUCUCAAGAAUAUCUCUGGGGUUGGGAGUAAGGCUCUUCAAUUAUUUGGCUCCUCAGAGAUCUUUUUUAAGUUUAUUUGUUUUGAGAGAGACAGCAAGAGAGAGGGAGAAAGAACCCCAAGCAGACUCUAUACCACCAGCACUGAGGCUCACACGGGGCUCAAACUCAUGAACUGUGAGAUCAUGACCUGAGCUGGAAUCAAGAGUCGGAUGUUUAACCAACUGAGCCACCCAGGUGCCCCAGAUCCUCAGAUAUUUGUUCUUGGUAAAACUUUUCUGGAUAUUCCUGUAGCAGCUGCUGCAUGUAAGUGAUGUAUAGAGGUAACAAAGGUCCUGUGCUUAUCUCUGGCAGGGCCUGGAGCCAAGAACUAUAAAUCUGGGUUUCAUCUCUCCUACUCAGGCUUGCCAGGACAAUAAGAUUGUUUACAUAAAGAGGUACUUUUAGACUUCCUGGAGAGCUUGGCUGAUCCGUAGAUCUAGGAAGGUAUAAUUUUGUGCCUUCAUAAAGAUAGUCAACAAAACCCUUAAUAUAGUCUACCAAGUUACUAUUAUUCCAUUCUCAUUUCUCACUAUGCUCUCCCUCUCACUCUAAGUUCUAGUUACAUUGGCAUUCUUCUAAUUUGUCAGAAUGUGCACCUUCUUCCUACCACAGAGCUUUUCCACCUGCUGUUUCCAUGUUCCAGAGUCCCCAUAUCUUCCCUCUUUUCAAUUAACUCCAACUCUUCUCUCAGUUUGGCUAAGCAUUGCUUCCUCAAGGAAGCUUUCACAGACGACCACCCCUUGAGUCUAGGUUAUAUUAAUUCGAAGAAUACAUACACCUUUCUCUCCGAUCACUCUUUCAGUUGUAGUUUACACAUUUAUUAGCAUAAUUAUUUUAUUAAUGUCUAUACCCCCUUAGACUAAAAGUUCCAUUCACACAGUAACUGCAUCCAUUUUGUUCUCCACUGUAACACUUAACAUAGUGUCCAGUAGAUUAAGUGUUUGUGGCAUGUAGGAAAAAAGCAAUUAGAACCCAUUGUGACAAAUGCUAUCCUUAGAGUAGGCACAGGAGGGCUAUGGUCUAACCUAAUCCAGAUUUUUAAAAAACUUUCCUUAUAAUAUAUUAUAUCACAUCUCUAAAAAUAAACAAGACUCUGUGAGAUGAACAAAGGAACUGGGAAGUAAGAGGUAACAUGAACCUGAAUGAGCUGAUCACAUUGGAUCCAGGUCAAGUCAACUAUUUCCAUUCUGCAAAUGAGACUAUUGGUCUUCUAUCCAGAUAUAGGAAGUUACUGAAAGACCCAUUAAUGUUGGCAGGAGAUUUAAAACUGGAAGAAAAAUGAGCUUGUCAGGUGGCAGCUGGAUGCCAAACAGAUCCUGUCGAAUAGCCAGAUGCGAUCUCAGAACCUCGCAAGUAAGACCAGCUCUGCUAGAGACUAUGUCCCUGAUCACUGAUGACUGGAUUUCUGGAGAUGGUAGACUAUUUAGGGGCCAGAACUAAGGACUCAAAAAGAAGAACAGCUGAUUCCAGAUCAGGGAGCAUCACCAAGACUAUUCAUCGUUCAGUUUCUUGAAGAUUGGGCUCAGGACGUGACUCAGGAAUGCAAAGGAAAACCCACACAACCCUAGGGAAACCAGAAAUAGUGUCACAUACACCAGACCUGGGGAGCUGCCAAAGAAUGCCAGGCCUGUCCACAGGGCAUAUGCAAUCUAGGAGGUGGUGCUGAGCUCCCAAGAGUAAUAAAUAAUUCAGCCUGCUGCAAAUUCAUCUGUUAAAGCCCUAAUCCCAAGGUGAUGGUAUUUAUGGAUAAGGCCUUUGAGCAGUAAUUAGAUUUAGAUAAGAAUAUGAGAGUAGGACCAUCAUAGUGCCAUUAUAAGAGUCACUACAGAGUUUGCUCCUUCUCUUUCUUUCUCUACCAUGUGAGCACACAAGGACAAGGGAUGGCCAUCUGCAAGCCAGCAUAAGAGACCUCAAAAACCUGGCCAUGCUAGCGCCUUGAGCUCAGAUUUCCAGCCUACAGAACGUGCCUGUAAUAUAGUAUAUGCUGAAAAGGCUGUUGAAGAAACUAAUGAAUUUCUUAUCAAGAUUGAAGACUAUAAGAGACCCAAUAUGAAAAUCUUCAGUACAGCUGCAGGGAACCCAGUGGUCAAAGAGAGACUUUCAUAAGGCUCCCCAAAUCCCACCCAGAGGCUCAACUGCUUUGCCAGCCGUAGCUCAGUGCCUGACUCCUAGGAGUGCCAGGCUCCAAUGUGACUUGGCUUGGCACUUCUUUGUCUCUUACUUCCUUCAAUUCUGAUGAAAUGCAACCGGGAAUGCACAUAAUGAAAUGUGCAAAGGAGGCACAUUGGUGCUGGCUGCAUUGCUGUGCACCGGGGGAGGACUGUCAGCUAAGCACCCGGGGUUCAGGCCAGCAUCUUAGCUAUUCGUGAACUGACAGGGAGCCUCUGAGACACUCUCACCUGAUGCUUCCCCUCAGGAUGAGUCAUGGAGGGGCAAUUCCCAAAGGGUAAGAAAAAGGAUCUUGCUGGAGCACAGUAGCACUGCUCUCUGUUGAAACCAUUACUGCCGUGCACACAGAAAUGUCAGUCAUGUACAAGGUUUUCACAUUUGUUCACAUACCCAUUCCACCCUACAUCCUGAAGUUGGGAUCCCUGCCAUGAAAUAGUGAAAUCCUUCAUUUACUGUUCCACCAAACAUCCCUGUCAUAUUAAAAUCC